UACGGAGGGGGCUAGCGUUGUUCGGAAUUACUGGGCGUAAAGCGCACGUAGGCGGAUUGGAAAGUUGGGGGUGAAAUCCCAGGGCUCAACCCUGGAACUGCCUUCAAAACUCCCAGUCUGGAGGUCGAGAGAGGUGAGUGGAAUUCCGAGUGUAGAGGUGAAAUUCGUAGAUAUUCGGAGGAACACCAGUGGCGAAGGCGGCUCACUGGCUCGAUACUGACGCUGAGGCACGAAAGCGUGGGGAGCAAACAGG
rnacentral:rRNA from 1 species